UAACAUAUUUUCCUACUAUACUUGUGUCUAAACAUACCUUCAAAUAUUCAUUAAAGCCCCACACGACCUGAAAACUCCCAGCUUCAAAUGAUUUCGUUUGUUGACGUAGCCAUGUUAGGUAGCCGGUCAAUUCGAAUCCUGAUUAAUUUCCAUACUUGCACAAUAACGUCUAGAUGUGAACUAAUAUCCCCACAAAUAUUUUAGCUAAAUAUUUUAAAUCAUAUAUCAUCCCAGUGCCUUUAAAUAAUAAUUAUUCAAAUAGCUAAACUCACGACAAUGCGGCUUUCAUUAGUCUGGUACGGUCUCCAUCCCUGUCACACGAGUGUUAAGGACUUUAGUAGCAUUUUCAUGAAUCAAGAGCUUAUUUUACCUUUAGAAAAACUUUAUUUUUUAAUUUCUAUAAAUUAUUGGUAUUGAUAAUAAAUGAAGAGCGAAUACAUAACAUAUAACGAAUUUUAUGAAUAUAUACCAAAAACAACAGGGUACGAACUGACCCGGCUACCUAACAUGGCUACGUCAACAAACGAAAUCAUUUGAAGCUGGGAGUUUUCAGGUCGUGUAGGGCUUUAAUGAAUAUUUGAAGCGAGACCAAGAGGUUGUCUCUGAUGUCCACACAUAAACCUGAUGGAUCGCGUAAAUCACAGUGAAUGUAACGGAGGAACUGUCCGUCCUGAUCUAGGAUGUGGAUACGGUGAUUGUUAUAGUCUGCUGUCAGGAUGUGACUCUGGCUGUCUGUAGUGAUGCUGAAUGGAGUAAAUGAUUGCUUGGUAUUAGAGGAAUGACCAGUGUAUCUAAAUCGGAGUUUUCCUGACUGAUUGACCACCACUACUGCACUAGCUUUAUUGUCAGCCACACAGAUAUCCAGGUUCUUGUUCUCACUGAGAAUUCAACGUCAAGAGGACAAGCAGUCGAUCGCUAACAUCUACAAUCAAAGUACAGAUAGUACUGAGAGAUAUCUACAAAAACACAUAGGAAGGCUGCAAUCAUUUAUGCAAACGAUGAUGAUUGUAUUUGUGAGUAUUUUUCUGAGCCUUGUGGAGGGCGUUGCCAACAAUCCUAUUCAGCCACAAGAAUCUCCCAGAGUUAGCUUCUCCUUAUCAACUCUUCUAAACAUUUCCAAGUUGAUUGACGAAGCUAACCGGUGCCCUAGCCAAACCCAAAAUACGCUCUGUCCCUGGACCUGGGAACCCGAGAUAAAGGAGAACAGAAUACCGAGGGUUAUUUAUAAGGCUAAAAAACGCACAGACUCCCUGUGUGAAAGCAACCCCAACACAGAAUGCAGAAGCGAAAAGAAACAGUUCGAUGUCGUGUACCUUACCCAGAAUUCCCAAGGAGUGUAUGACCUUUUACCUAACGUUGAGGAACUUCCUGUUGCCAUGACUUGUGUUCAAAAACAACGAGAGUAUGUGGUAAACGGUGAGGACGUUGAUUAUAACGACUUUGACUAGAAAUAUAUGACUGUUUGACUAGGAAUAUAUGACUGUUUGACUAGGAAUAUAUGACUGUUUGACUAGGCAUCUGUGACUGUUUGGAAUUCAAUCAAAGCCUCUUACCGACUACAUUCAUAAAUGGGGCGGAUCAAGGCAGUUUAUGGGGGUAGAGUAUUUAGUACAUAGCUCCUCAAAGUUUACAAUGUAGAGAGAUAAAACAAAAGACACAGAGGCGGAUCCAGAAAUUUUUUAAAGGCGAAGGGGUUGAGAAGGGGGAACACCAACUACAAAAUCGCUAUAGUUUUAUCAAAAUCAUCUAGACCAAGGGAGGGAGUCAAACCCCGUAACCCACCCCUCCCGAUCCACCACUGAAACAACUACAUCGAUGACCAGUGAUAUUAAACACAAUUGGAUUGUUUGACUAUUACGAACUUUAUCCUCGCUUGCUUCACGGUUGUAGGGAUCUCUCUUAAUAGUAUACAGAUAACAAACGUUUGUUUUUGUGGCGAUGUGUUGUGCUUUUUACAAAACCUAAUGUUACGAUCCAUUUACAAGUAUAGUGUCUGCAGUAUUAACUCCCCCCCCUCUCUGUGUGUGUGUCUGUCUAUCUCUGUGUGUGUCUGUAUGAGUGUGUCUGUCUGUCUGUGUGUGUCUGUGUAUGCGCCUGUGUGUCUGUCUGUGUUUCUGUCUGUCUGUCUCUGUGUGUGUUCGUCUGUGUGUGUCUGUCUGCGUGUGUCUGUGUUUGUAUGACUGUGUGUGUCUGCGUGUGCGUCAAAGACAUGAAUUAUUUUACUCUUAACAACGACAGGGCAUUAUAUUUUUAGGCAUUUUGUCCGAUUACUUUCAGGUUUUACCUUAAAUGACAUAUCAAAGCACAUGUGACUGUUCAGAUUUCAUUUCCAAAGACAUCAUCUGCGAUUGUAUGUUUUUACGAGUAUACAUUCUUCUGUAUUUUGCAACAACACUAUGUUUUAUAAAACAGUAUUAAAGAUAUUGAAUGCA